rnacentral:rRNA from 1 species
GAUGAACGCUGGCGGCGUGCCUAAUACAUGCAAGUCGAGCGAACAGAUAAGGAGCUUGCUCCUUUGACGUUAGCGGCGGACGGGUGAGUAACACGUGGGUAACCUACCUAUAAGACUGGGAUAACUUCGGGAAACCGGAGCUAAUACCGGAUAAUAUUUCGAACCGCAGGGUUCGAUAGUGAAAGAUGGUUUUGCUAUCACUUAUAGAUGGACCCGCGCCGUAUUAGCUAGUUGGUAAGGUAACGGCUUACCAAGGCGACGAUACGUAGCCGACCUGAGAGGGUGAUCGGCCACAUGGGAACUGAGACACGGUCCAGACUACUACGGGAGGCAGCAGUAGGGAACCGUCCGCAAUGGGCGAAAGCAUGACGGAGCAACGCCGCGUGAGUGAUGAAGGUCUUCGGAUCGUAAAACUCUGUUAUUAGGGAAGAACAUACGUGUAAGUAACUGUGCACGUCUUGACGGUAACUAAUAAGAAAGCCACGGCUAACUACGUG